CGAACGCUGGCGGCGUGCCUAAUACAUGCAAGUCGAACGGUCUUUCUAUGGAAGUUUGCUUUCACUGAGAAGAUAGUGGCGGACGGGUGAGUAACACGUGGGGUAACCUGCCCAUAAGAGGGGGGAUAACAUCCGGAAACGGGUGCUAAUACCGCAUAGUUUUCUUGAUCGCAUGAUCGGGAAAGGAAAGACGGCCUUUGUGCUGUCGCUUAUGGAUGGACCCGCGGCGUAUUAGUUAGUUGGUGAGGUAACGGCUCACCAAGACGAUGAUACGUAGCCGACCUGAGAGGGUGAUCGGCCACAUUGGGACUGAGACACGGCCCAAACUCCUACGGGAGGCAGCAGUAGGGAAUCUUCCGCAAUGGACGAAAGUCUGACGGAGCAACGCCGCGUGAGUGAGGAAGGUUUUUUCCGGGAUCGUAAAACUCUGUUGUCAGAGAAGAACAAGUUGGAGAGUAACUGCUCCAGCCUUGACGGUAUCUGACCAGAAAGCCACGGCUAACUACGUGCCAGCCGCAGC
rnacentral:rRNA from 1 species